rnacentral:rRNA from 1 species
GACGAACCGUACGAACGUUAUUCGGAAUUACUGGGCUUAAAGGGUGCGUAGGCUGCGCAGAAAGUUGGGUGUGAAAUCCCUCGGCUCAACCGAGGAACUGCGCCCAAAACUACUGUGCUCGAGGGAGACAGAGGUGAGCGGAACUUAGGGUGGAGCGGUGAAAUGCGUUGAUAUCCUAAGGAACACCCGUGGCGAAAGCGGCUCACUGGGUCUCUUCUGACGCUGAGGCACGAAAGCUAGGGUAGCGAAC